rnacentral:rRNA from 1 species
GACGGAGGGUGCUAGCGUUGUUCGGAAUUACUGGGCGUAAAGCGCACGUAGGCGGAUCUUUAAGUCAGGGGUGAAAUCCUGGAGCUCAACUCCAGAACUGCCUUUGAUACUGGGGAUCUCGAGUCCGGGAGAGGUGAGUGGAACUCCGAGUGUAGAGGUGAAAUUCGUAGAUAUUCGGAAGAACACCAGUGGCGAAGGCGGCUCACUGGCCCGGUACUGACGCUGAGGUGCGAAAGCGUGGGGAGCAAACAGG